rnacentral:rRNA from 1 species
AUUGAACACUGGCGGCAGGCCUAACACAUGCAAGUCGAGCGUCGCUGCUGACGGGUGAGUAAUGCCUAGGAAUCUGCCUUGUAGUGGGGUAUACCGUCCGGAAACGGGCGCUAAUCCCGCAUACUAUCAGAUGAGCCUAGGUCGGAUUAGCUAGUUGGUGGGGUAAAGGCCUACCAAGGCGACGAUCCGUAACUGGUCUGAGAGGAUGAUCAGUCACACUGGAACUGAGACACGGUCCAGACUCCUACGGGAGGCAGCAGGGGGGAAUAUUGGACAAUGGGCGAAAGCCUGAUCCAGCCAUGGCGCGGGUGUGAAGAAGGUCUUCGGAUUGUAAAGCACUUUAAGUUGGGAGGCGUUACCAACAGAAUAAGCACCGGCUAACUUCGUGCCAGCAGCCGCGGUAAUAC